GACGAACGCUGGCGGCGUGCCUAACACAUGCAAGUCGAACGGGGUGAUUCCUUCGGGGAUCGCUUAGUGGCGAACGGGUGAGUAACGCGUGAGAAACCUGCCUUUCAGUGGGGGACAACAGUUGGAAACGACUGCUAAUACCGCAUAAUGUUUCGAGAGGGCAUCCUUUUGAAACCAAAGCUUUAGGUGCUGAAAGAUGGUCUCGCGUCUGAUUAGCUAGUUGGUGAGGUAACGGCUCACCAAGGCGACGAUCAGUAGCCGGUCUGAGAGGAUGAACGGCCACAUUGGGACUGAGAGACGGCCCAGACUGCUACGGGAGGCAGCAGUCGGAAAUAUUGGGCAAUGGGGCGAACCCUGACACAGCCCCGCCGCGUGAAGGAAGAAGGCCUUCGGGUUGUAAACUUCUUUUACCAGGGACGAAGAACGUGACGGUACCUGGAGAAAAAGCAACGGCUAACUACGUGCCAGCCGCCGCUGUAAAAC
rnacentral:rRNA from 1 species